GUAAAGGUAGAAAGGGUCGGGAGGAGCGGCGGCGCGCCGGGAGCUGGCCUGGCUCCUCGGGAGCGCGCCUCGGGGGCCCCGCCCUGUCUCGGAGGGGCUGRCAGGGUUCGGAGCCUGCGGGCGGCGCUGGCUGGGCCAGCCAGGCAGCGCGGAAUGCUGCACUCCUGAGGAAAAAGGCAGUGGUCCAAGUAUUUUCUGCGGUUUUAAGCGGCUACGGAUAACCUUCCCUCCAGUCCCACAAAAACUAGAUUUGAGAGGAAUCCUUUAUGUUUUUCAUUUAUCCUGUUUGAGGCCAGAGGAAAGAUGUCUGGUAUAACAAGGGUUAUAAAAGUUGAUAUCCUGGAUUUAAAACAUUAUUUAAUUUCAUAUAUUUUUCACCACCAUUAUUUUAAAAAAUUUAAGUAUCAACUCUUUAAAGAAAAAUGACCUAUUAAUAUUAUAGCCUAAUGUUUUCCCACAAACAGUUAUGGAUGUGUUGACCUAAAAUUGUACUGUUUUAAAUUAUGUAAAUCAAAACAGUAAUUUCAUAUUUUCUUUUGAUAUAGAAUUCAGGAUUUACAAAAGGUGCAAGUUUGGGCAGUUCUGAAGACUACAAUUUUGUUAACUUAUAAAACAGGUAAUUUAUCUUUCAGAUCUAAAAAAGGAACAAAUAUUUAUUGACUACUUACAUAUUAUUUCAUGUAGUU
rnacentral:lncRNA from 1 species